GCUUAGCUCAGUUGGUUAGAGCACCUGACUGUUAAUCAGGGUGUCGAAGGUUCAAGUCCUUUAGC
rnacentral:tRNA from 1 species